UGGGGAAUAUUGCACAAUGGGCGCAAGCCUGAUGCAGCCAUGCCGCGUGUGUGAAGAAGGCCUUCGGGUUGUAAAGCACUUUCAGCGGGGAGGAAGGCGAUAAGGUUAAUAACCUUGUCGAUUGACGUUACCCGCAGAAGAAGCACCGGCUAACUCCGUGCCAGCAGCCGCGGUAAUACGGAGGGUGCAAGCGUUAAUCGGAAUUACUGGGCGUAAAGCGCACGCAGGCGGUCUGUCAAGUCGGAUGUGAAAUCCCCGGGCUUAACCUGGGAACUGCAUUCGAAACUGGCAGGCUAGAGUCUUGUAGAGGGGGGUAGAAUUCCAGGUGUAGCGGUGAAAUGCGUAGAGCUCUGGAGGAAUACCGGUGGCGAAGGCGGCCCCCUGGACAAAGACUGACGCUCAGGUGCGAAAGCGUGGGGAGCAAACAGG
rnacentral:rRNA from 1 species